UAGAAGAAAAGAUGGACUCAUUAGUCAUUACUGCAGCUGGAGAAGAAAAAAAAAAGAAAAGAAAAAAGGUAUUAUACACGCAGAACAAAGGGGCCUAUCCUAAGGUGGGGUUGGAGUUUCGAGUUUCGACUUUCAGUGAAUGACCCUUCCUGCACCUGACCUGCUAAUGCUAAUUCAAUCUGAGAAGCUGCUUUCGUCAAAAGACACCAGAAGAUCUAUCAGUAUCCAUAUCUCAGAAAAUUCAAG
rnacentral:misc_RNA from 1 species